CAAGAGGAGAAAAUCCAAAUCAUAUUGCAAGCCUUGAGGCAAUGUCCUGAAAUAAGUGAGUUGCAACUUAGCUGGAAUAAUCAUGGAUCAUGCGGAUGGCUGGAUUUGUUAGGAAACAUUAAGAAAUUGAAGGUUCUGCAUUUGUCGGGAUGUUUUAAAUGUCUGCGCGGCAACGCAUUCGGAAUGCUUACGCCGUUCCGGAAUUUAGCGGCAGUUGUAUCCCGGCUGAGCGAUUUGCAUCUAGCUUAUUGCUGCAUCGAUGAUAAGUGUUUGGCGAUUUUGUGUUCAAAAGCAAAGUUAAACCUCCUGAGAUUGCAGCAUUGCCACUAUAUAACCGAUGCCGUGGUGUUGAAUUUAGCUGUAAUAUGCCCGACUCUUCAACGUCUGACUGUAUCGCAGUGUGCAAUGAUAAGACCGGGAAGCAUCGACGAGCUUCAGAAAAUUAUGCCCGGACUGGACAUUACUUACCAUGAAAUGUAGGAAUCGUUUUCACUCUCCGCUUCUUAAGUUUUUCACUCACCAUUCUCAUUAUUUAGCGUCAUUCAAUGUUACGAUUAUAUGGAGUAGUAUGAGCUGAGUUAGUUUUUGAAUAAUUGC